rnacentral:rRNA from 1 species
GAUGAACGCUGGCGGCGUGCCUAAUACAUGCAAGUCGAGCGAACGGACGAGAAGCUUGCUUUUCUGAUGUUAGCGGCGGACGGGUGAGUAACACGUGGAUAACCUACCUAUAAGACUGGGAUAACUUCGGGAAACCGGAGCUAAUACCGGAUAAUAUUUUGAACCGCAUGGUUCAAAAGUGAAAGACGGUCUUGCUGUCACUUAUAGAUGGAUCCGCGCUGCAUUAGCUAGUUGGUAAGGUAACGGCUUACCAAGGCAACGAUGCAUAGCCGACCUGAGAGGGUGAUCGGCCACACUGGAACUGAGACACGGUCCAGACUCCUACGGGAGGCAGCAGUAGGGAAUCUUCCGCAAUGGGCGAAAGGCUGACGGAGCAACGCCGCGUGAGUGAUGAAGGUCUUCGGAUCGUAAAACUCUGUUAUUAGGGAAGAACAUAUGUGUAAGUAACUGUGAACAUCUUGACGGUACCUAAUCAGAAAGCCACGGCUAACUGCGUG